ensembl:lncRNA
UGGAAUGAAUGCAAAGACGGCAUUCAAUGUCCCGUUAUGGAAAUCUGCUGACAUACAGGAGCUCACACUGGCUGAUCUCAACUACAACACAACGUCCAGAGCCAGGGACCAAAGAGGGAAGAGUUCAGCCCUGGGUCAGCCUGUUCCUUUGGUUCCCGAUGAGAGAAACUUCUACCAGAACCCUGAAGGAGAUGAGCCUCCCCCUCCAGCAUCCAGACCCAAGGCCCGGACCCGACCAAGACCUCCACCACCACCAGAAGAUGACGAAGAAGCUCCUCCACUGCCUCAACCCAGGAAAAAGGCCCCCCGAACACCAAGGAGCUAGGACCCUGCGCACCCCUGUGUCUUCCCAGAACUCAGGUCAAACAUCUGUUUUCUUGCGCAGAAGGACUGAACAUGUGUCUUCUGCUGCACCUGCUGCCUGUUCAGAAAACUGGAUCACAGUCAAGAAAACGGUCCCUGAGUGCAUUUGGGAAGACACACAUAUUUAUCACAAACACGCGCGGAGCUUGUACGUGAUUAGAAGUCCCCGCAAGAAUGUUGUUGGGACAAUUUUUUGCUACUAAACACAGAAGAACAUUUGUGAUGCAUUUGUGUGUGAACCUUGGUGGUCCUCUAACGCUUGAAAAUUUGUGCUGUUUUUUUAACUAAUAUUUUGAAACUGGAGUGUGCCUUAAAUUGUUUUUUUGGGAAAUGUAAUAUAAUUUUCAAAAAGGUUUUGCGUUUUAUUUUUUGUUUUAUUGCAGUAUUUUUGAGAGGAAGGGGGGUUAGUUCUGAUUUUGCUGACUCCAGCUACAUCCAUCCAAAUAUUGCUGGAGUGAUAAUUUAUUAAACUGUUUGGUGUAACACGUGUACAAGAGAGAUUUGCAACCUUGUUGGACAUUUUUAUAUUAUUUUUGUAUUCGGUUUGGUAAACAGAAUGCACCUAACAAGAAGUCUAGAUGUGUGUUUAUUUCCUCUCAGUACGAAUGUGGUGACAUUUCAUAUAAUGACAUUGACAUGCAUUUCUACAGAGAUCGGGUCGGGCUCGCUGUUCAUCUGUGAAUACUCAGUUUCAGGUAAAAAAAGGAAGUCGAGGGCUUUUUCUUUUGACGGCUGCGACACACUUUGUAAUGCAAAAGCAUCAUCAGUUUUGUUCCAUUUCCCACCUCACAACCACGAUCUAAUCUCUUUCUCUCUUUUUUCUUUUUGCUCUCUCCUCGUAUAGCUCACACACUGCCAGUGGAAUGUGGUUUUAAGAGCAGCUUAACCCACCCUGUCAACACUUCUAGUCUUUUCCUGUGUAAGAAUGAGGAAACGUAGGUGUGUGUGUGUGGUAUACACACUUUGCAGUUCUGCACAAUGCUACAUCUUGUAAGCAUUGUUUUGAGAAACCACUGUGACAAAAAGAAGGAGGAUGUUCAAACGCUCUUGUGUGCUUUUGUGUUGCCAGAUCAUGUACAAAUUGUUCAACUUAUUGUUCAGCUAAGGAACUGGACCUGUAAUCAGAAGGUUGUCGGUUCAAAUAAAAAAGCAUUCGGGAUUUGAACCCACAACCUUCCGAUUACCAUCCGCUUGCUUACCCUCAAGGCCAACCGCUGUUCGAUCUGAAGCAGUGUUCUUCCAUGAUAACAUUUAAACAAUAAAAUAGAUCAUCAAGCGUGCAGACUGUGCACAAGACAAAACAACUGAAAAGGAAAAAAAACAUCCAGUUGCACAUUCUGUAAAUUUAGAUGUAAUACAGACAUAUGUAUACAGACAUAUGGUAGUAGCCUAGUGGGUAACACACUCGCCUGUGAACCAGAAGACCCGGGUUCAAAUCCCACUUACUACCAUUGUGUCCCUGAGCAAGACACUUAACCCUAAGUUGCUCCAGGGGGACUGUCCCUGUAACUACUGACUGUAAGUCGCUCUGGACAAGGGCGUCUGAUAAAUGCUGUAAAUGUAAAUGUAAAUGUAAAUGUAUGUCGGUUUGGUGAGCAAGGUGGGGUACCUGCUUAAAAGGGUGGGAGAUCCUUUCUGUGGCCAGGUCUGUGAAUCGUAAGAAUCUGUGCAUGCAUGAGUAUUUAUAUGCGUCGUUACCUAACAUGUAGUAAGUAGCACACUUUGCCAUUUGCUCAUGGCUGCCAACUACUCACUAAGGGUGAUGGGUUAAAUGCAGACGGCACAUGCCGUUGUGUGCACCGCGUGCCGUGUUUUGGACUGGACUGAGAUCCGGAGGAUUCAGAACUUGUUGGGUUUCUUCAACUCGUUCUUGAGUGCAGCAGGACACGUUGAGGCCACUGCAAUCAUACUGGAGGAGCAGGUCGGUGAAAAGUGAAUGCAGGAUCCAAGGUUGUCCAAAGCAACACACUGCCACUGCCAGCUUGCAUUCUACCCAUAGUGCAUCCUUGUGCCACAUCUCAUAUAACAGACAUGAAAAAUGUCUAUUUCUCUGUUACCAGUUUACCACCCUAGGACCUCUUCCGUUUGUAAUACAGACCAGAAAGGGCCAUAGUUUUGGUGAUGCUUGUCAAAAUCAUUCAAAUUCUUACAGUUCACCAUUUCUUCUUCAAAUUCUCUUCAGAGACCAAAUGUGCACUUGCUGCAUAAUGAAUUCAGAGUGCC